rnacentral:rRNA from 1 species
CUACGGGUCGCUGCAGUGAGGAAUUUUGCGCAAUGGGCGAAAGCCUGACGGUGCAAUGCCGCGUGGGGGAUGAAGGCCCUCGGGUCGUAAACCCCUGUCAGGAGGGACGAAGAAGUGACGGUACCUCCAGAGGAAGCCACGGCUAACUACGUGCCAGCAGCCGCGGUAAUACGUAGGUGGCGAGCGUUAUUCGGAUUUACUGGGCGUAAAGGGUCCGCAGGGGGUUUGCCAAGUCUGGUGUGAAAUCUCACAGCUCAACUGUGAAACUGCGCUGGAUACUGGUGAACUGGAGUGCGCGAGGGGUGAGUGGAAUUCCUGGUGUAGCGGUGGAAUGCGUAGAUAUCAGGAAGAACACCAACGGCGAAGGCAGCUCACUGGCGCGCAACUGACCCUCAUGGACGAAAGCGUGGGUAGCAAACAGGAUUAGAUACCCUAGUAGUC